rnacentral:rRNA from 1 species
UACGUAGGGUGCGAGCGUUAAUCGGAAUUACUGGGCGUAAAGCGUGCGCAGGCGGUGAUGUAAGACAGUUGUGAAAUCCCCGGGCUCAACCUGGGAACUGCAUCUGUGACUGCAUCGCUGGAGUGCGGCAGAGGGGGGAUGGAAUUCCGCGUGUAGCAGUGAAAUGCGUAGAUAUGCGGAGGAACACCGAUGGCGAAGGCAAUCCCCUGGGCCUGCACUGACGCUCAUGCACGAAAGCGUGGGGAGCAACAGG